rnacentral:rRNA from 1 species
GACGGAGGGUGCAAGCGUUGCUCGGAAUCAUUGGGCGUAAAGGGUGCGUAGGCGGCUUGGUAAGUCUGGCGUGAAAGCCCAGGGCUUAGCCGUGGAAGGGCGUUAGAAACUACCAAGCUGGAGUGCCGGAGGGGAGAGUGGAAUUCCUGGUGUAGCGGUGAAAUGCGUAGAGAUCAGGAGGAAUACCGGUGGCGAAAGCGACUCUCUGGACGGCAACUGACGCUGAGGCACGAAAGCGUGGGGAGCAAAC